rnacentral:rRNA from 1 species
GACGAACGCUGGCGGCGUGCUUAACACAUGCAAGUCGAACGGUGAAGCGCCUUCCUUUUUGGACGGGGUGGGUGCGUGGGGAAAGGGUGAGUAACACGUGAGUAACCUGCCCCGUUCUUCUGGGUAACCGCAUGCAAGUGUCGCUAAUACGGGUUAUUCUCGGUCUGUUGCAUGGUGGGUUUGGGAGAGUUAUGGUUUCGGUGCGGGCUGUGCUCGCGGCCUAUGAGCUUGUUGGUGGGGUGAUGGCCUCCGAAGGCGGUGACGGGUCGCCGGCCUGAGAGGGUGGGCGGCCACACUGGGACUGAGACACGGCACAGACUGAUACGGGAGGCAGCAGGGGGGAAUAUGGCACAAUGGGCGCAAGACUGAGGCAGCGGCGCCGAGUGAGGGAGGGAGGCCUUCGGGUUGUGAACCUCUUUCGCCAGUGAAGCAGGCCUGCCUCGUUUGUGGGUGGGUUGACGGUAGCUGGAUAAGAAGCGCCGGCUAACUACGUG